UACUUGAACGAAGCGUAUUGCUUUACUAAGUACUAGUGCCGCAGGAGUUUGGUUCGUGUCCGUAAUACCUCCUGCUGCCCAAGUGCUUAUUAAAGCGACGACUUUACCUACUUA
rnacentral:pre_miRNA from 13 species